GCGCCUGUAACUCAGUUGGACAGAGUAUCGGAUUUCUAAUCCGGCAGUCGCAGGUUCGAGUCCUGCCAGGCGUG
rnacentral:tRNA from 1 species